UGUACAACUCUGAGCGGUGGAUCACGCGGCUCGUGUGUCGAUGAAGAGCGCAGCCAACUGUGUGAAUUAAUGUGAACUGCAUACUGCUUUGAACAUCGACAUCUUGAACGCAUAUUGCGGCCAUGGGUUAGCCUGUGGCCACGCCUGUCCGAGGGUCGGCU
rnacentral:rRNA from 1 species